GUGAACGCUAGCGGUGCGCCUAACACAUGCAAGUCGAGCGAGGCUUCGAGCCGAGCGGCGAACGGCUGCGUAACACGUUGGAACCUUCCCCAGACUCAGGAAUAAUCCGCCGAAAGGUGGACUAAUGCCGGAUGGUCCCGCAAGGGUAAAGCUUUUGCGGUCUGGGAGGGGCCUGCGGCCUAUCAGCUAGUUGGUGAGGUGAAAGCUCACCAAGGCUAUGACGGGUAGCUGAUCUGAGAGGAUGAUCAGCCAGAAUGGGACUGAGACACGGCCCAUACUCCUACGGGAGGCAGCAGUGAGGAAUCUUCCGCAAUGGGGGCAACCCUGACGGAGCGACACCGCGUGAAGGAUGAAGCCCUAUUUGGGUGUAAACUUCUGUUCUGAGGGACGAAAUUUUUGACGGUACCUCAGGAGAAAGCACCGGCUAAUUCCGU
rnacentral:rRNA from 1 species